GGGCCUUUAGCUCAGUUGGGAGAGCACCCGCCCUGCAAGCGGGAUGUCGUCAGUUCGAGUCUGACAAGGUCCACCA
rnacentral:tRNA from 1 species